UCCCUCUGUCGCCCAGGCUGGAGUGCGGUGGUCCGAUCUCAGCUCACUGCAACCUCCACCUCCUGGGUUCACGCAAUUCUCCUGCCUCAGCCUCCCGAGUGGCUGGGAUUACAGGUGCCCGCCACCACGCCCGGCUAACUUUUUUUGUAUUUUUAGUAGAGAUGGGGUUUUGCCAUGUUGGCCAGGUUGGUCUCGAACUCCUGACCUCAGGUGAUCCAUCUCCUUCGGCCUCCCACAGCACUGGGAUGACAGGUGUGAGCCACCACCCCCGGCCGGUGUUAACUGAUUUUAAAGUGCACGCUUGGGCGGCGUUCAGCACAUUGCAGUGUCAGGCGGCCCUCACCUCUCUCUAGUCCUGAAUGUCCUCAUCACCCCAAAAGGAAACCCUGUCUCCAUCAGCACUGGCUCACCACCCUUUCCCAAGCCUGAGAGCCUCCACGACUCUCUGGCUUGGCCUGUUCUGGAUGUUUCGUAGAAAUGGGAUCAGACACUGUGUCCCUCUGAGCCUCCGUCGCUCGAGGUCCUGCCUCAGGUUUCAUCCCGGUGUGGUGUGUGCUGGGGCCUCCUUCCUUCUUGUGGCUGAGUGGCGCUCUGUGUGUGGCCAGCCUGUGUGUGGUUUGUGGCUCAUCUGUGAGUGGAUGCCAGGCUGCUGGGCUGCUGGCCUGCAUGUGGUUCGUGGCUCGUCUGUGAGUGGACGCUGGGCUGCUGGGCUGCUGGGCUGCUGGGCUGCUGGGCGCAGUGCGUGAGAUGCUGUGGUUGUCCAUGCACCGGCUCUUGUUGGACAGAGGUUUUUGUGGUGCCUGGACGUGUACCCAGGAGUGGUGUUGUGGGAGGUGUUGUGGGUGGUGCUGUGGGCGUUGUGGCCUCGGGCGGGAUGGCGUUUGGUUCACUGCGUUUCCCGGCCGGCGUCUCCUUCUGUCAUGAAAUGCUCAGUGCCCACGCACGGUCCAUACUGGGGUUUGGUACCGUCCACCUACGGAUUAAAAACGUUCACGGAUAUCUGCUUUCAAAACACCCAGGCCGGUCUUGUCGGCAGAGCCGGUCUCAGGCCACCUCCUCUUUUCCGAGGUAGGUGAGACUCUGGGAAGGGAAGGAGCGAAGGAGGCAGGCUUGGAGCCUUGACCACAGGGAGGAGGGGAACCUGCUCCUGGAUGCGCCGGAGCCCAGCCCGGCUUGUGGAACGAGGCUGCAGGAGCCUGAGAUCGGGGACUGCCGGGCCUGCGCCACGGAGGGUCCCCAGGGGGACGGGACAGCCUUCCUGCCUCUUCCAGCCCCUGGCGCUCAGCUUUGCCUUAGCUGUGGCCUCAUAACUCCAGCCUCUGCCUUGGUCGUCAUGGCCGUGUCUUCUGACUUUGGAUUUAGGGUCCGUCUUGAUCCGGUAUGACCGCAUCUCAAUGACGUCGGCAAGGACCCUGUUUCCAGGCAAGGCAGCUUUUUGAUAUUUGAGUGGUCGGAGGCACUGUUUAGCCACCUUGCUGCCUCCUCGUAGGACUGAAGGGCAUUUUUCCCUUGAGCAGGAGACUCCACACACGCGGACACUGACGUUGAGCCGCAGGGCUGGUCACUGUCCCCGUCCCGUGGCACCGCACGCCAGGGCCCGGCACCUUCUGCCGUGGGUCACGUGGCCUUGGGUCCGGCCCCUGCCAGAGGCUGGGGCCCCAGGGACCCCUCUGGGCUAGAAGGUGCUGCUGACACAGGCGUUUUUAGAUAAGCAGGAAGCUCCUGAGAGGAAGCUUUAUUUUUACUUUGUUCCGGCCUCUGUGGUUUUUGGAGAUGGCCUUUAAAGAUUUGUUUUCGAUUUUAUCUUUAAA
rnacentral:lncRNA from 10 species